rnacentral:rRNA from 1 species
AUCUACGGUCAUACCACCCAGAAUACUCCCAGUCUCAUCUAAUCUCAGAAGCUAAAUAGGCCUAGGACUUGUUAUUACUUCCAUGGGAGAAAUCUCCUCAGAUUCAGAGAAUAUAAGGGCCAUGGGGU